rfam:Ailuropoda melanoleuca scaffold3901_4, whole genome shotgun sequence.
GGACAUGAGGGUGAUCUGGUUGUGACAUCUGUUGCCCCAUUGAUCUCCAGUGUUGAUUGAGCUCAUUUGGCCAGCUGAGGGGAGGGGGUGGUGUCGUCUUCCUCACUGCUCCAUGUACAUCCCUCCCCGAGCUGUGUACUCAGUGGGAGAGGACCACCUUCCCUGCUAAAGGACCGUUCUUUGAUCAAGGGUGUAUGAGUAGCUGCCCUUCCCUGUUAGAACCUCCAAACAAGGCUUUCAUGUCUAUUUGCAGGAGAACACAGGGUAGUCAAGCUUCUAAGACCUCCCCCCCAAACCCAAAUUAAAGUCCUGCAUUGAGUCCCUCUCAGUGGUGUCUUCAUGG